AUUUUGUGCUAAAAGUUUUUUAUUUUGUUUAAAUAUACUCCGGACGACUAAUUUUUCAAAAAGUUGAAGACCAAUUUAACAACCAUUUCAUAAGAACUACUCUCAACACAAGCAAAUCAAUCAUAAUUUU